CAUUAUCCCCCUAACGAGCCAAGACAAUGGACGAGCCGACUUCCGGUUGCUUCGCGCCGACGCGGCCACACACAGCGGUCCUGGCACUAUUUAUCCAGGCCGCUGGGUGGCGCUCGGGUUCGGUCGAUCGAUGGUGGAGAAGCAACGCGAAAGACCGGCAACACAGACGCUGACAAACACCGAACACAGCAGGGAUUCUGAAGGGGAUGGAAAUGGAGUGGCUAUGUUUGCGUGUAUGAUGACCAGCGUGCUAAUGGCCCACAACGCCCCAGCAGGGAACGGAGGAUGAGAGUUGAAGUCUACAGCCGUUCUAUCAAUGCAGCAACUGAUGGACAAGGGGUUCACUUUGGUGAUGUUGUGAUGUUCACACCUUCUCAUUCAAAGAGUUUUCUUUAUUUUCAUGACUAUGAAAACUGUAGAGUCACACUGAAGGCAUCAAGGGCUAUUUGAGCAAGAAGGAGAGUGAUGGGGUGCUGCUCCAGAUGACCUGUCCUCCACAGUCACCGGACCUGAACCCAAUCCAGAUGGUUUAGGGGUGAGCUGGACCGCAGACAGAAGGCAAAAGGGCCAACAAGUGCUAAGCAUCUCUCGGGGAACUCCUUCAAGACUGUUGAAGACCAUUUCAGGUGACUACCUCUUGAAGCUCAUCAAGAGAAUGCCAAGAGUGUGCAAAGCAGUAAUCAAAGCUAAAGAAGAACCUACAAUAUGACAUAUUUUCAGUUGUUUCACACUUGUUUGUUAUGUAUAUAA